rnacentral:rRNA from 1 species
GGAGUUUGGACCGUCUCUCAGUUCCAAUGUGGCCGAUCACCCUCUCAGGCCGGCUACUGAUCGUCGCUUUGGUGGGCCGUUACCCCGCCAACUGGCUAAUCAGACGCGGAUCCAUCUCGCACCGAUAAAUCUUUUACCCCUGCCCCAUGCGGGGCUGUGGUCUUAUGCGGUAUUACCAGCCGUUUCCAGCUGCUAUCCCCCUGUGCGAGGCAGGUUAUCCACGCGUUACUCACCCGUCCGCCACUAAGUUAAAGUUCCAUCCGAAAAUUUCACUUUAACCCCGUUCGACUUGCAUGUGUUAGGCACGCCGCCAGCGUUCAUC